rnacentral:tRNA from 1 species
GAGGGUAUAGCUCAGUGGUAGAGCGCAUGCCUCGCAUGCACAAGGUUGUGGGUUCAAUCCCCAGUACCUCCA